rnacentral:lncRNA from 10 species
AAAGAGGAAGCAAGCAUAUCUUCAUCUGGUGGCAGGAGAGAGAGAGCAUGAAGAGGGAAGUGGUAAACUCUUUUAAACAACAAUAUCUCAUGAGAAAUCACUCACUAUCAUGAGAACAGCCAGGGGAAAAUUCACCCCUAUGAUCCAAUUACCUCCUGCCAGGUCCCUUCCCCAACAUUGGGAAUUACAAUUCAACAUGAGGUUUGUGUGGGGACACAGAGCCAAAUUCUAUUAUUCUGCCUCUGGCCCUUCCCAAAUCUCAUGUCCUUCUCACAUUUCAAAACACAAUCAUGUCUUCCCAAUAAUAUCCCAAAGUCUUAACUCAUUCCAGCACUAACCCAAAAGUUCAGGUCCAAAGUCUCAUUUGAGACAAAUUUCUUUUGCCUAGGAGCCUGUAAAAUAAGAAACAAGUUAGAUACUUCCAAGAUACAAUGGGGAUACAGGCAUUUGGUAAAUGCUCCCAUUCCAAAGUGGAGAAAUUGGCCAAAACAAAGGAGCUACAGGCCCAGUGCAAGUCUGAAACCCAGCAGGGGAGUCACUAAAUCUUAAAGCUUUAAAAUAAUCUCCUUUGACUCAAUGUGUCACAUCCAGGGCACACUGAUGCAAUGGGUGGGCUCCCAAGGUCUGGGGAAGCUCUGCCUUUGUGACUCUGCAGGGUACAGCCCCUGUGGCUGCUUUCAUGGGCUGGCAUUGAAUGCCUGUGGCUUUUCCAGGCACAGGGUGCAGGUUGUUGGUGGAUCUACCAUUUUAGGGUAUGGAGGACAGUGGCCUUCUUCUCACAGCUCCAUUAGGCAGUGUCCCAAUGGAGACUCUGUGUGGGGGUUCAUAUACCAUAUUUCCCCUCUGCACUGCUCUAGUAGAGGUUCUCCAUGAGGGUUCUGCCCCUGCAGCAGACUUCUGCCUGGACAUCCAGGCAUUUCCAUACAUACUCUGAAAUCUAGGCAGAAGUUUUCAAACCUGAACUCUUGCCUUUUAUGUACCUGCAUGCCCAACACCACGUGGAAGCUACUGAGGCUUGAGGCUUGCACCCUCUGAAACAACAGCCCAAGCUGUACCUUGGCCUCUUUUAGCCAUGGCUGGAGCUGGAGCAGCUGGGACACAGGGUGCCAUGUCCAGGCCACAGAUCAGCGGGGCCCUGGGCAUGGCCCAUGAAACAACUAUUCCCUCCUAGGCCUCUGGGCCUGUGAUAGGUGGGGCUGCCACAAAGGUCUCUGAAAUUCCUUGGAGUCAUUUUCCUCAUUAUCUUGGCUAUUAACAUUCGGCUCCUCUUUACUUAUGCAAAUUUCUCCAGCUGGCUUGAAUUUCUCCCUGGAAAAUGGGUUUUACUUUUCUUGCAUAUGGUCAGGCAGCAAAUUUUCUGAAACUUUAUGCUCUGCUUCCCUUUUAAACAUAAGUUCCAGUUCCAGAUAAUCUCUUUGUUCACACAUAUGAGCAUAGACUAUCAGAAGCAGCCAGGUAACACCUUGAAUGCUUUGCUGCUUAGAAUAUUCUUCUGCCAGAAAUCCUAAAUCAUCUCUCUCAAGUUCAAAGUUCCACAGAUCUGUAUAGCAGGGGCACAAUGUCACCAGUCUCUUUGCUAAAGCAUACCAAGAGUGACUUUUACUUCAGUUCUCAAUAAGUUUCUCAUCUUCAUCUGAGACCUCAACCUGAACUUCACUGUCCCUAUCACUAUGAGCAUUUUGGUCACAACCAUUCAACAAGUCUCUAGACAGUUCCAAACUUUCCCUUAUCUUUCUGUCUUCUUAUAAGCCCUCCAAACUGUUCCAAUCUCUGCCCAUUACCCAGUUCCAAAGUUGCUUCCACAUUUUCAGGUAUCUUUAUAGCAACACCCUACUUUUCUGGUACCAUUUUUUUGUAUUAGUCCAUUCUCACACUUCUGUAAAGAACUAUUUGAGACUGGGUAAUUUAUAAAGAAAAGAGGUUUAAUAGACUCACUGUUCUGCAGGCUGUACAGAAAGCAUGGCUAGGAAGUCUCAGGAAGCUUACAAUCAUGGCUCAGAAGGGCAAAGGGGAAGCAAGCACAUUUUCACAUGGCAGCAGGAAACAGAGUGAGCAAACAGGGAUGCGGUACACACUUUUAAACAACCAGAUCUCAUGAGAACUCACUGUCAUGAGAACAGCAAGGGGGAAAUCCACCCUUGUGAUCCAAUCACCUUCCACCAGGUCCCUCCCCCAACAUUGGAGAUUACAAUUCAACAUGAGAUUUGGGUGGGGACACAGAACCAAACCAUAUCUACCAGUCACAAUAAGACAAAUAAUGUAUAAUUCUACUUGCUUGAGAGAUCUGGAAUAGUUACAUUCAUAGAGAGAGAAAAUAGAAUGGUGAUUGCCAGGGGCUUAGGGAAAGGGAUAUUAAGAAAGUUAUAUUUAAUGAAUACUAAGUUUCAGUUGGGGAAGAUGAAAACAUUCUCGAGAUGAAUGUUGGUGAUGGUUGUACCACAAUGUGAAUGUACUUAAUGCCACUGAACUGUACACUUAAAAAUUGUUAAAACUGUGAAUUCUAUAUUAUGUAUAUUUUACCAUAUUAUAAAAAUAAAAAUAAGAUAGUUAUGUUAGAUAAUGAGUUGGACAUCAUUUUUAUCCUCUGGCCUAACCCAAGAUAAUACGGGGAUGUGAUUU